GUGGGGAAUAUUGGGCAAUGGGCGAAAGCCUGACCCAGCAACGCCGCGUGAAGGAAGAAGGUUUUCGGAUCGUAAACUUCUUUUGCAGGGGAAUAAAGUGCAGGACGUGUCCUGUUUUGUAUGUACCCUGAGAAUAAGGAUCGGCUAACUCCGUGCCAGCAGCCGCGGUAAUACGGAGGAUCCGAGCGUUAUCCGGAUUUAUUGGGUUUAAAGGGUGCGUAGGUGGUUUGAUAAGUCAGCGGUGAAAGUUUGCAGCUUAACUGUAAAAAUGCCGUUGAAACUGUCGGACUGGAGUGUAAAUGAGGUAGGCGGAAUGCGUGGUGUAGCGGUGAAAUGCAUAGAUAUCACGCAGAACUCCGAUUGCGAAGGCAGCUUACUAAGCUACAACUGACACUGAAGCACGAAAGCGUGGGGAUCAAACAGGAUUAGAUACCCCGGUAGUCC
rnacentral:rRNA from 1 species